rnacentral:rRNA from 1 species
GCUUAACGCGAAGAACCUUACCUAGACUUGACAUCUCCUGAAUUACCCUUAACCGGGGAAGCCCUUCGGGGCAGGAAGACAGGUGGUGCAUGGUUGUCGUCAGCUCGUGUCGUGAGAUGUUGGGUUAAGUCCCGCAACGAGCGCAACCCUUAUCAUUAGUUGCUACCAUUAAGUUGAGCACUCUAGUGAGACUGCCACGGUUAACGUGGAGGAAGGUGGGGAUGACGUCAAAUCAUCAUGCCCCUUAUGUCUAGGGCUACACACGUGCUACAAUGGUGAAUACAAAGAGAUGCAAUACCGCGAGGUGGAGCCAAACUCAAAAAUUCAUCCCAGUUCGGAUUGUAGGCUGAAACUCGCCUACAUGAAGCCGGAGUUGCUAGUAAUCGCGAAUCAGCAUGUCGCGGUGAAUACGUUCCCGGGUCUUGUACACACCG